rnacentral:tRNA from 1 species
CGAGGUGUAGCGCAGUUUGGUAGCGUGCUUGGUUCGGGACCAAGAGGCCCAGGGUUCGAAUCCCUGCACCUCGACCA